rnacentral:rRNA from 1 species
UGAACGCUGGCGGCGUGCUUAACACAUGCAAGUCGAACGAAGCACUCUAAUUGAUUUCUUCGGAAUGAAGUUUUUGUGACUGAGUGGCGGACGGGUGAGUAACGCGUGGGUAACCUGCCUCAUACAGGGGGAUAACAGUUGGAAACGACUGCUAAUACCGCAUAAGCGCACAGGACCGCAUGGUCUGGUGUGAAAAACUCCGGUGGUAUGAGAUGGACCCGCGUCUGAUUAGCCAGUUGGCGGGGUAACGGCCCACCAAAGCGACGAUCAGUAGCCGACCUGAGAGGGUGACCGGCCACAUUGGGACUGAGACACGGCCCAAACUCCUACGGGAGGCAGCAGUGGGGAAUAUUGCACAAUGGGGGAAACCCUGAUGCAGCGACGCCGCGUGAGCGAAGAAGUAUUUCGGUAUGUAAAGCUCUAUCAGCAGGGAAGAAGAAAUGACGGUACCUGACUAAGAAGCACCGGCUAAAUACGUG